CCUUGGUGUAGAGACUUACUAUUUUUUAUUUUUUUUCCCUAAGACUAAAGUAUCUGGGAUUUGAAGCCAUGGAGGAAGCAGGACAAACCACUGGCUGGCAGGGCAUGGGUAGAUGGUGCACAUGCUUGGCUAUAGCCAGGUGCCUCGGAAGCACUGUGCUGGCUGGUUCAUUGGGCUGGCAGCAGAUGCCAAAGGACAAGGAACAUCUUAGAUACCAUUCUCCUCCUCUGAGACCGUUUGUGGGCUGCAGAGAGCCAGAGCUGGCCAGAAAGGAGACACAGUAAAAAGGAAGAAAAAAUCACAAAGAACGUCUCAGGACCUGGUUCCUUCAUGGGGCUCCUGGCUCACCCUUGGUCCCCAAGGACGCUUGAUGCCCACAGGUGGUGCCCCCAGGGGCAUCAAAUGGGGGCCAGGUGACCACACGGGCACAGCUGCAGCCCCAGGCUCCUCUCGCACCCAUGGGAGCAGCUGAGCCUGGAUGGGGCUCACAUACCUCCACCCCAAGUUUGCCUCACACAUCCUUCCAGGUGAAAGCUUACUGUGUAUAGCACGUGAGAGCAUUCUCUUGAAAAUCAAUUGUUUUGAGUUAACGGAGUGCAUUUUCUAUUACCUAACGUGCUGCAGCCAGUAUAUCUGUUGAUUUCAAGGAUUUUUUUAUUUCACCUUGGCAUGUCUUUUAUCAGAAAUCAUUUUGAAACUUUUUAAUUUAUGGGCCUUUAUUGCAAUACUCAAUUCAUCCUGAGUAGUCUAUUAUUAAGUGUUCUAGAGGCUCUUAUUGUUCUUUAUCAGAGGAUUGUAUCUCUGUGCAAUUCAUCUGUAGUCAUUCUUCAUAGGGAAAAUCUUUCAUAUUAGGUUUCUUUCAUCAUUCGAUGACAACUCUUGAAUACAUCAUUAUUCAGCAAUGGGUUUAGAAAUUAUAAUCAUUAGGCAAUUUUUCAUAUAAUCUGAUUUUAUAAACUGUUUCUUUUUAUUAUCUUUUGAUGGAAAACAGUAAAUGCAUCUGUCUAUUUUGAUCCUCUCUGAUAACAGUAAUAGAAAAACUAAGUAAGGACAUCUUAUUGAGGAAACAGCCCAGCUGCAUUUUUUAUAUGCACAGAACCAAAGAUUACUUAACGUGAAGUAAAGCUCGCUACUCUCUUGAAUGCGACACACUGAGCACAAACAUCCAAAUGUAAAUUCUGCAGUUCUUGCGCAUAACUUUUCACCACUCAAUUGACUCUGUACUCCAGGUGGCUUAUUGUAUCCUGGGACUGGGUUUAUGCAAUUAAAUAACAUGUGCACAUC
rnacentral:lncRNA from 1 species